rnacentral:rRNA from 1 species
CACGUAGGGGGCAAGCGUUGUCCGGAUUUAUUGGGCGUAAAGAGCUCGUAGGUGGUUUGUCGCGUUGUUCGUGAAAACUCACAGCUUAACUGUGGGCGUGCGGGCGAUACGGGCAGACUGGAGUACUGCAGGGGAGACUGGAAUUCCUGGUGUAGCGGUGGAAUGCGCAGAUAUCAGGAGGAACACCGGUGGCGAAGGCGGGUCUCUGGGCAGUAACUGACGCUGAGGAGCGAAAGCGUGGGGAGCGAACAGG